GUGGAAGCAGCGGUGGAGGAGGAGGAUGCGGUAGCCAACACUGUUUUUUACACAUAUAUAUAUAUAUAUAUAUAUAUACACAUUUUCUUUAAUUGGGGUAGCCCCCAAAAUAUUGGGACAUAUAAAAAAAAAGACAACUCUGUUCGGCUGUUGACAUUAUAGUUGACAUUAUAGUUGUGCAGGCACUUUGUUGACUCUAGAGAACCUCGGACCAAAUGCACAUCCCCGUGCCGGCGACUUUGCAUGCGGAUGACAUCCAUAUCAACUUUCGAUGCCAGUUUCUGCGCCUACCAUGGUGACCACAGGUAACGGGGAAUUAGGGUUCCAUACCGUACAGGGACCCUGAGAAACGGCUACCACAUGCAAGGAAGGCAGCAGGCACGCAAAUUACCCACUCCCGACAUGGGAAGGUAGUGAC